UACGUAGGGGGCAAGCGUUAUCCGGAAUUACUGGGUGUAAAGGGAGCGUAGACGGUAAAGCAAGUCUGGAGUGAAAGGCUGGGGCCCAACCCCGGGACUGCUUUGGAAACUGUGCAGCUGGAGUGCAGGAGAGGUAAGUGGAAUUCCUAGUGUAGCGGUGAAAUGCGUAGAUAUAUGGAAGAACACCAGUGGCGAAAGCGGCUCUCUGGUCUGUAACUGACGUUGAGGCUCGAAAGCGUGGGGAGCAA
rnacentral:rRNA from 1 species